GACGAACGCUGGCGGCGUGCCUAAUACAUGCAAGUCGAACGCAGUGGGGACGGGUGAGUAACACAUGGGUAACCUCCCAUCAGAGGGGAUAACACUUGGAAACAGGUGCUAAACCGAUACUGCUGGAUGCAACCGCGGUGCAUUAGCUAGGUGGUGAGGUAAAGGCUCACCAAGGCCAGGGUGCAUAGCCGACCGGAGGGUGGGAGCAGGCAUACGGGGACUGAGACACGGCCCAGACGCCUACGCGAGGCAGCAGUAGGGAAUCUUCGGCAAGGGACGAAAGUCUGACCGAGCAACGCCGCGUGAGUGAAGAAGGUUUGCGGAUCGUAAACCUCUGUUGUUAGAGAAGCGGUAUCUAACCAGAAAGCCACGGCUAACUACGUGCCAGCCGCCGCGGUAAUUC
rnacentral:rRNA from 1 species